GAAAGUAAGGAAGGGCGCACGGAGGAUGCCUAGGCUCUUUCAGGCGAAGAAGGACGUGACAAGCUGCGAUAAGCUUCGGGGACCAGCACAUAUGGCGUGAUCCGAAGAUUUCCGAAUGGGGCAACCCGGCUGGUUGAAGACCAGUCACUCUACGGAGGGCAAACCCGCUGAACUGAAACAUCUAAGUAAGCGGAGGAAGAGAAAACAAUAGUGAUUUCGUGAGUAGUGGCGAGCGAAAGCGAAAGAGCCCAAACCAUACUUGUUACGGCAAGUAUGGGGUUGUAGGACUGACAUAAUUGGUUAGGAGUGAAGUGGAACGAUUUGGGAAAGUCGAUCAGAGAGGGUGAGAAUCCCGUACACGUAAGCGAUUGACCAAGGACAGGAUCCUGAGUACCGCGAGGUCGGAGACGCCUUGUGGGAAACAGCCAGCACCAUCUGGCAAGGCUAAAUACUAGAAAGAGACCGAUAGUGAACAAGUACCGUGAGGGAAAGGUGAAAAGAACCCCGAACAGGGGAGUGAAAAGAACCUGAAACCGUGCGCUUACAAGCGGUCGGAGCAGACAAGUUCUGUGACGGCGUGCCUUUUGCAUAAUGAGCCUACGAGUUACUACUCACUGGCAAGGUUAAGGGUUUUAGUCCCGGAGCCGAAGCGAAAGCGAGUCUGAACAGGGCGUAUAGUCAGUGGGUGUAGACGCGAAACUUUGUGAUCUACCCAUGAUCAGGUUGAAGGGCCGGUAACACGGUCUGGAGGACCGAACCAGUAAACGUUGAAAAGUUUUUGGAUGAAUUGUGGGUAGGGGUGAAAGGCCAAUCAAACUGAGAAAUAGCUCGUACUCCCCGAAAUGUUUUUAGGAACAGCCUGGCGGUAGAGUUUAACAGAGGUAGAGCUACUAAUUGGACGCGGGGGAGUCAAAUCCUACCAAAUCCAGAUAAACUCCGAAUGCUGUUAAAUAUACGCUGGAGUGAGGCCUGGGGUGCUAAGGUCCCGGGCCGAGAGGGAAAGAACCCAGACCAACAGCUAAGGUCCCUAAGUAAUUACUAAGUUGAACUAACGAGGUCCGGUUGCAUAGACAGCUAGGAUGUUGGCUUGGAAGCAGCCAUUCAUUUAAAGAGUGCGUAACAGCUCACUAGUCGAGCGAUCGGGCAUGGAUAAUAAACGGGCAUCAAGUAGUUCACCGAAGCUUUGGACAAGUAAUUGUGGUAGGGGAGCAUUCUGGCGGCAGUGAAGGUAUAACUGUAAGGUAUGCUGGAGCUUCCAGAAAAGCAAAUGUAGGCAUAAGUAACGAUAAGACGGGCGAGAAACCCGUCCACCGAAAGACUAAGGUUUCCUGAUCAACGUUAAUCGGAUCAGGGUUAGUCGGGGCCUAAGGUGUAGCCGAAGGGCGUAGCCGAUGGAUAAUUGGUUAAUAUUCCAAUACUUUUUAAUAGUGUGAUGGGGAGACGGAGUAGUGACACGCACGCCUGCUGACGGAAUAGCAGGUUAAAGCCAGUAGAUAAAGGACAUACAGGAAAAUCCGUAAGUCUUGUCGAAGGUGAGAGUACUGCAAGGCUUCGGCUGCGUAGAUAGUUGCGGUAAACAGACUUCCAAGAAAAUCCUCUAAACUUCAGUUAUUAAAAACCCGUACCGAUAACCGACACAGGUAGUCAAGGAGAGAAUCCUAAGGUGCUCGAGUGAAUCAUGGCUAAGGAACUCGGCAAAAUGGCCCUGUAACUUCGGGAGAAGGGGCGCCUCCGCAAGGAGGCCGCAGUGAAGAGGCCCAGGCGACUGUUUAACAAAAACACAUGGCUUUGCAAAAUCGAAAGAUGAAGUAUAAGGCCUGACACCUGCCCGGUGCUGGAAGGUUAAGAGGGGAUGUUAGGGUUAAACCGAAGCAUUGAAUCGAAGCCCCAGUAAACGGCGGCCGUAACUAUAACGGUCCUAAGGUAGCGAAAUUCCUUGUCGGGUAAGUUCCGACCUGCACGAAUGGUGUAACGAUCUGGGCGCUGUCUCAGCCAUGAGCUCGGUGAAAUUGUGGUAUCGGUGAAGACGCCGGUUACCCGCAACGGGACGGAAAGACCCCAUGCACCUUCACUACAACUUAACAUUGACAUUGGGUACAGGAUGUGUAGGAUAGGUGGGAGACUGUGAAGGGGCGUCGCUAGGCGCUUUGGAGUCAACGUUGAAAUACCACCCUUUCUGUGCUCGAUGUCUAAUCUGGCUGAUGUCGGAGACAUUGUUUGGUGGGUAGUUUGACUGGGGUGGUCGCCUCCAAAAGUGUAACGGAGGCUUUCAAAGGUAUGCUCAGUACGCUUGGUAACCGUACGAGGAGUGCAAUAGCAUAAGCAUGCUUGACUGUGAGGCUGACUAGCCGAGCAGGAAGGAAACUUGGAUAUAGUGAUCCGGUGGUUCUGAAUGGAAGGGCCAUCGCUCAAAGGAUAAAAGGUACGCUGGGGAUAACAGGCUGAUCUCCCCCAAGAGCUCAUAUCGACGGGGAGGUUUGGCACCUCGAUGUCGGUUCGUCACAUCCUGGGGCUGGAGAAGGUCCCAAGGGUUCGGCUGUUCGCCGAUUAAAGUGGCACGCGAGCUGGGUUCAGAACGUCGCGAGACAGUUCGGUCCCUAUCUGUUGUGGGCGUAAGAAGCUUGAGUGGGGCUGACCUUAGUACGAGAGGACCGGGUUGGACAAACCGCUAGUGAAUCUGUUAUGGCGCCAGCUGUACUGCAGAGUAGCUACGUUUGGAAGAGAUAAGCGCUGAAAGCAUCUAAGUGCGAAACUCGCCACGAGAUGAGGCUUCUAUGAGGAUCCUAACAGACUAUUAGGUUGAUAGGCUACAGGUGUAAAGGUGGUAACAUCAUAGCCGAGUAGUACUAAUUAUCCGAAACUUUCACUC
rnacentral:rRNA from 1 species